rnacentral:rRNA from 2 species
UUAAGCGACUAAGCGUACACGGUGGAUGCCCUGGCAGUCAGAGGCGAUGAAGGACGUGCUAAUCUGCGAAAAGCGCCGGCGAGGUGAUAUGAACCCUUGACCCGGCGAUGUCCGAAUGGGGAAACCCAGUGUGUUCCGACACACUAUCGUUAACUGAAUACAUAGGUUAACGAGGCGAACCGGGGGAACUGAAACAUCUAAGUACCCCGAGGAAAAGAAAUCAACCGAGAUUCCCCCAGUAGCGGCGAGCGAACGGGGAGCAGCCCGGAGUCUGAAUCAGCUUGUGUGUUAGUGGAACGGUCUGGAAAGUCCGACGGUACAGGGUGAUAGUCCCGUACACGAAAAUGCACAGGUUGUGAACUCGAAGAGUAGGGCGGGACACGUGGUAUCCUGUCUGAAUAUGGGGGGACCAUCCUCCAAGGCUAAAUACUCCUGACUGACCGAUAGUGAACCAGUACCGUGAGGGAAAGGCGAAAAGAACCCCGGCGAGGGGAGUGAAAAAGAACCUGAAACCGUGUACGUACAAGCAGUGGGAGCACCUUCGGGUGUGACUGCGUACCUUUUGUAUAAUGGGUCAGCGACUUAUAUUCUGUAGCAAGGUUAACCGUAUAGGGGAGCCGAAGGGAAACCGAGUCUUAACUGGGCGUUAAGUUGCAGGGUAUAGACCCGAAACCCGGUGAUCUAGCCAUGGGCAGGUUGAAGGUUGGGUAACACUAACUGGAGGACCGAACCGACUAAUGUUGAAAAAUUAGCGGAUGACCUGUGGCUGGGGGUGAAAGGCCAAUCAAACCGGGAGAUAGCUGGUUCUCCCCGAAAGCUAUUUAGGUAGCGCCUCGUGAACUCAUCUUCGGGGGUAGAGCACUGUUUCGGCUAGGGGGCCAUCCCGGCUUACCAACCCGAUGCAAACUACGAAUACCGAAGAAUGUUAUCACGGGAGACACACGGCGGGUGCUAACGUCCGUCGUGAAGAGGGAAACAACCCAGACCGCCAGCUAAGGUCCCAAAGUCAUGGUUAAGUGGGAAACGAUGUGGGAAGGCACAGACAGCCAGGAUGUUGGCUUAGAAGCAGCCAUCAUUUAAAGAAAGCGUAAUAGCUCACUGGUCGAGUCGGCCUGCGCGGAAGAUGUAACGGGGCUAAACCAUGCACCGAAGCUGCGGCAGCGACGCUUAUGCGUUGUUGGGUAGGGGAGCGUUCUGUAAGCCGUUGAAGGUGUGCUGUGAGGCAUGCUGGAGGUAUCAGAAGUGCGAAUGCUGACAUAAGUAACGAUAAAGCGGGUGAAAAGCCCGCUCGCCGGAAGACCAAGGGUUCCUGUCCAACGUUAAUCGGGGCAGGGUGAGUCGACCCCUAAGGCGAGGCCGAAAGGCGUAGUCGAUGGGAAACAGGUUAAUAUUCCUGUACUUGGUGUUACUGCGAAGGGGGGACGGAGAAGGCUAUGUCAGCCGGGCGACGGUUGUCCCGGUUUAAGCAUGUAGGCGGAGGUUCCAGGUAAAUCCGGUACCUUGUUAACGCUGAGGUGUGAUGACGAGGCACUACGGUGCUGAAGUGAUAAAUGCCCUGCUUCCAGGAAAAGCCUCUAAGCAUCAGGUAACACGAAAUCGUACCCCAAACCGACACAGGUGGUCAGGUAGAGAAUACCAAGGCGCUUGAGAGAACUCGGGUGAAGGAACUAGGCAAAAUGGUGCCGUAACUUCGGGAGAAGGCACGCUGAUAUGUAGGUGAAGUCCCUGCGGACGGAGCUGAAAUCAGUCGAAGAUACCAGCUGGCUGCAACUGUUUAUUAAAAACACAGCACUGUGCAAACACGAAAGUGGACGUAUACGGUGUGACGCCUGCCCGGUGCCGGAAGGUUAAUUGAUGGGGUUAGCGGCAACGCGAAGCUCUUGAUCGAAGCCCCGGUAAACGGCGGCCGUAACUAUAACGGUCCUAAGGUAGCGAAAUUCCUUGUCGGGUAAGUUCCGACCUGCACGAAUGGCGUAAUGAUGGCCAGGCUGUCUCCACCCGAGACUCAGUGAAAUUGAACUCGCUGUGAAGAUGCAGUGUACCCGCGGCAAGACGGAAAGACCCCGUGAACCUUUACUAUAGCUUGACACUGAACACUGGUCCUUGAUGUGUAGGAUAGGUGGGAGGCUUUGAAGCGUGGACGCCAGUCUGCGUGGAGUCAUCCUUGAAAUACCACCCUUUAAUGGCUGGUGUUCUAACGUAGACCCGUGAUCCGGGUUGCGGACAGUGUCUGGUGGGUAGUUUGACUGGGGCGGUCUCCUCCCAAAGAGUAACGGAGGAGCACGAAGGUUGGCUAAUCCUGGUCGGACAUCAGGAGGUUAGUGCAAUGGCAUAAGCCAGCUUGACUGCGAGCGUGACGGCGCGAGCAGGUGCGAAAGCAGGUCAUAGUGAUCCGGUGGUUCUGAAUGGAAGGGCCAUCGCUCAACGGAUAAAAGGUACUCCGGGGAUAACAGGCUGAUACCGCCCAAGAGUUCAUAUCGACGGCGGUGUUUGGCACCUCGAUGUCGGCUCAUCACAUCCUGGGGCUGAAGUAGGUCCCAAGGGUAUGGCUGUUCGCCAUUUAAAGUGGUACGCGAGCUGGGUUUAGAACGUCGUGAGACAGUUCGGUCCCUAUCUGCCGUGGGCGCUGGAGAAUUGAGGGGGGCUGCUCCUAGUACGAGAGGACCGGAGUGGACGCAUCACUGGUGUUCGGGUUGUCAUGCCAAUGGCACUGCCCGGUAGCUAAAUGCGGAAGAGAUAAGUGCUGAAAGCAUCUAAGCACGAAACUUGCCCCGAGAUGAGUUCUCCCUGAGACCUUGAGUCUCCUGAAGGAACGUUGAAGACGACGACGUUGAUAGGUCGGGUGUGUAAGCGCAGCGAUGCGUUGAGCUAACCGAUACUAAUGAACCGUGAGGCUUAACCUU